rnacentral:lncRNA from 1 species
GACAAAGCCCAUUUUGGUUUAGUACAAAAUCUUAGAAAACCUAAUCAUUUCUCUCUCGCCCUUCCCUUGAUCAUCAUUUGUGCUGCUCUUCCUCUUUAAAAAUUACUCAUCUGCACUCUUCACAUUUUUCUAAGAUCUCGUCAAAAAUCAUUGGGAUCAGAAAUUGGCUCACAAAGGUAAGGAAAUCUCCCAAAAUUUCUGCAGAUUUUUUGAUAUCCUUAUUUAAGCAAUCGAAUCCUAGGUAAAUUAUUUAUAUUUGUCAGAUUUGGUUUAGGUUUUUCCACUUUCUGCUUCUUCCGUUUGUUUAGAAACAAAUUUUCAUUUUUUAAGAUUAUAAUCAAAUGUAAGUGUUAUAGCUUUUAAUUUCAUCUAUCAUUUGCAGUUUUGUGUUUGCCUUUUGUAUUUCACACCCUCUCUAUUUCUCUAAAUCGGUGUGGGACUGUUUGGUCUAGAUGCGUAUAAAAGAGAAGAAGACCAAACUCUCUUAAUCUUCUUUCCUCUAUUUCUUGUUUCUCUAAGAAAGUUGAGAGAUAGGGAUUGGACAAGAAAUGAUUACAGCUUUCAGCAUCCUAAAAAUAAUGGAUGAUGUUUUGUGCUACUAUUCAUGGGAGUCUCGUUGAAUAAAGAGAAGUGGUUUGAGUUAAGUUGAUUUGAUUUUCUCUAUUUUUUGAUAAUUAAUGAGUUUGACCCCCAAUGUUGGCUGUUUUUCUUUACUUACUCUUUGUGGGUUUUUAAUAAAAUUUGGGAUUUAUUUUAUGAACUGAAAUUGUAAGUGAGAAUUGAGUUGGAAAGCUUGAGAAUGUGGGAAGAGUAGUGAGGGAAGGAGGGAGUGAAUGCAAAGUUUUUGAGUUUUCCAAUAAACGUGCUUAAGAAGUGUUUCCAUGGUUUUUCCAUUAUAUAUAGACUAAUUUCUAAAAUUUUUUGAAUCCUUUUUCAAAUUUUGCUCCAAGUCUUGGUCUUUCUAAUUUCUAUUGGAUUUGAUGAGUUUAUUUGUUUUACUUCAUAUUAUGUUGCCUUGUUUCCCUAAAUUUAAUUUUUUGCCACUUGAUUUUCAUUUGUUCUUUGUUUUGUGCAUAUAAAUAAAUUCCCUUUCUUGUAAUUUUUUACUUUGAUUUUCAUUUUUUGAUUGUGAUUAUCUCAACAAAAAUGCAAAGCCAAGCAAAUUUAUUGCCUUGAUUAAUUUGAGAUUAGUGUUGAGAAAUGAUGGGAUAUAUUUGAUGAAAAUAGUGCAGUUGGCAGCAAGGAUUGGAGUUUCAAAUUUGUACAAGAAAACAAAGAAAUCAUUUUUUGAGACGUAAGUGCUCUAUACUAUUACAGUUACAUUCUAACAUAGUCCCAGCAAGGAUUUCCUCUUUAGUACAUACAUAUAUAUUUGGAUGGUGCGUCAUGACAGCAAGAAGAUUAGAAGAUGUUCAUGAUUUGUCUUAUUUUUGCAGGUUAAAGACAUGUACAACCAUGUGAAUGAGUGGUCGGGACUAAAAGGCUCAUUUGAUUGCAGAUUAUGCCUAUGUGAUAAUAAUGACGUAAUUUGAAGAAGUUAGUAUUGAGUUGAAACGAAAGCAAAAUUCAUGCAAUUUUGAACAAUGAAUUUAUUGAAUGGAAAUGUUUGUAAUUUCUUAUUUGUUUGUUGGUGUAUUUUAAAUAUUCUAACUUUAUAAUUCAUUUAAUUAAAUGAU